GUUUGAUUUUUAUACUUCAUAACUUUUUUUUUUAUUUAUACUUUAUUAGAUACCUACCAAUUACAAUAAUAUAAUAUAAUUAUAUAAAAUACUAUUAUUUUACUUUUAAUCUAAUUAAUAUCUGAUAUUAAUCAAAUACCUAUAUUCUAUAGGUAAAGUUAGUUAAACCUUAGUUAAUACUUAAUUGAUAUAGGCUGUAUAGUAUAAACUGUAUAGCAGCGGUUCCCAAACUGUGAGGUGCGAGCAGUGUUAUUUUGUCAUAACAAUAAAAAUAUUUGUAUGUUUAAAUACUUUAAAUUUGUUAUUUAUUUAUUUAUGGGAGGAGCAAUUUUUUAUUUUUUUAUUUUUAGGGUGGCGUAAACUAAAAAAAUUUGGGAACCGCUGCUGUAUAGGGUAUGCAAUGCAGGGGUGUAGGAGCUUAGCGGAUAGAACCUCAUGUUGAUGUCUUAAAUUUUUUAAUUUUAUAAAUUGAUAAAUUAUUAAAAAUAUUGAAUAAUAAUUAACAAUUGCAUUAUAAACUGUAAUAAUUUAAUAAUGUUUUUGAAAUCUACAAACAACUAAUUCACCCUUCAAACGACUUACCAUAUUUGUGUCACAGGCGCAGAUCCAGAACAUAUUUACGGGGGGGAUAGUAGUGCAUCUCGAAUAUAAUAUCGCUAAUAACGCUAUCAGAAAAACAAUGCAUUUUAUUUUAAAUAGAUAUUUUUUUCAAUUUACCAGUCUACGGGAGGGGGGCAUGGCUCCUUGACCCCUCCCCACCCCUUUGGAUCCACGUGCAACUUGUGAUAGAUCACGUAAAGGAUAGGUAGUAAGGAGAUAAUUCUUGAUUAGGAAUAAAAAAUGUUUUUAGCUAUUGAAAAUUAAAAAAAAUUACAGAAAAAAUAAUCACAUAAUUUUUUUUUUAUUAAACAAUACAAAAAACAAAUAUACAAUGUUAUAAUGACAGAUGUAUCACAAAGUCCUAAUGUGAUACUAUAUUAAGUAUGUAGUUCUUACCUUACCUAUUUUUUGUGUUUAUGUAUAUGGUAUAUCGUAUGUGUAUCAUAGAAAAGAAAGUAAACGCCUGGUUAUCGUAUCGCUAUAAUGAAUUCCCGUACUACAUUCCUGCGAUAUCCGUCUGCAUUACAGCUGUCGCUUGUAAACACUUCCCCCAUGUAACUUAGGGGUAGGUUCCGGCGUAAGUUACGAUUAGCCACCCACUGUGGUGGAAUGGGUAAUUCUGAGGUUGGUGAUAUCAUACACCAUGUUGCAUGGUCUGCGUUUGGGCCGGAAUCUUUCAUUGGCUGAGAGCAAAAGAAAAUAGCUUUGCCAAAAGAGCUAGCUGGAUUUUUUGAUACGGAUGUUGUUCUUAUAAAUGACAGGAGGUUUAUUUGUUUUUCAGUGGUUAGGGACCGACUUAUUAUUGUUUGAGACUUGGAUCCAAUUAUACUCAGUUCUGAGAAAAUCACGUUACAGACUUCAAACCCUCUAUUGUUUUGUAUAAUACUAGAUAUCGUUAUUAAUAAAUCGAAGUUCAUAGCAGUGUUGGCAGUGGCGUAGCUAGACAAUUUUUCUUAGAUAGGCCCGAUAUUUUGAUGGAAUAAGGAUUAUCAAUUAAUAUUUUUAUUUAAUAAAAAACAUGAUAUAAAACAUUCAUUUUUGGAGAAAAGUGGGUAGGCCUGAGCCUACCUGCUGGCUACGCCACUGAUAAUGAUCCCGAUUGGAAUACACAUCAAUUUGAAAAUCGAAAACGACCAUGCUCAGCGAUGUCAACAAUAUUAGUCGUCCGUCGUCUUCAUUGUCGGAAUAUAGACCAGAUCCGGUUAUGUAGGUGUGUUGCCCAAUCUGAGACCUAACUCUAGUCUGUCCGUUCGUUCCAACACUUCGGACGAAAAAAAAACAUCAACUAGAACACAUUUCAGAUUGUUCAUAUGGUCCCAUAAAGAGCUGAUAAGUAGACCUUUGACCAGGACGUUUGUCCAGUCACCCGGUUCGAAAAUUGAAAAAACCUCAUUGAUGUACGAUAGAGAUGAAACCCUCUGCCAUAAAUGUAAUACUUGAGAAUAUCGUUUAAGACAAAUCGAUAAUAUAAUACCUAAACCAAAAUUAUCAAGAGGUAUAUUUAUGAAAGGAGCUGAUAAUAUAAACAAUGGACAUUUAAACAAGGUAAAAUGAAGAAAUUAUACACAUUACUCACUUAAUAGUUAAUAUAAUAAAUCAUGUUGAUUAACACAAGUUUAUUAUUAUUAUUAGGAAACUCUAAAUAAGCGUUAAGACCAACUAAAGCAAACAUCCGACCAAGCCCGGAUUAAGGGGGAGCCAGGGGGGUCAUGUCCCCGGGGCCCACGUGUGUAAAGGGCCCAGUCUUCUCAGCUUAAAAUUACAUCGAGUGAUAAUUUGUACAUUUUAUAAUACCAACAAUAAUAUUUAAAUUUUUUUUUUGUUUGAAUUAAGAGGCUAGAACAAAGCUAGGUUAGGUAACAAAGCUAGAAAAAAAACUUGUACAUAAAAAUACUUCAUUUUAUUUAUAAAAAUGUAUUUUAAUAAAAAAUAAUGUUUUAAAUUAAAUUUGUUUUAUUGUAUACUUUUAUAAUUUUAAAGAAUAAUUAUUGUUUUCAUUGAUAGGGGCCCACAACCAUGUAUUGGUCUUUGGGCCCCUGAAGGUCUUAAUCCGGGCUUGCAUCCGACUAUAACUAUAAUACUGCAAAAUAAUUAUUAAAUUCUCCAGGUUCGUCAUCGCCAAUUACGUCUGCGUGCGUUAUUGCCUCGGAAAGCACUCCGAGACAGGGAAUCUCCUCGUACAGGUUGUGCAGCGAGUCGUCGAAUCCGGGUCCUGGGGGCUGGAGAAUUCCGUAUAGUAGCCUCCUCUACCGCCAAUUUGUUUUUGAGGAAGGGUAGGGAAUGUGGCGUAUAGAUGUUGUCCUAGUGUAGUCACCACAUUGCCGAGUUGUUCCAACUGCAACAUGACGGGCUUCGGCACAUAAAAAGAUAGUGAAUGGAUCAAAUUCAGUAUCUCCAUCUCUGCUCUGUCAACCGGUUGAGAAUUCUUCUGCUUAAUUGUUAUCAUACGCAUCCAAAUACACGCAGUAAUAUAAUAGUCCAAGUAUUCGGGCAAUAGCACUUGGUAUAGAGAUGGAUUGUAGAUAAGUAACUGUGCGUAGACCAUGCGGGACACUUCGAUGGCUGCCGGAACGGAUGAUGUAAAUAAUGUAUUGCGGCACACUUCGUGUGCUUCCAGUUCCAUAAUCGUGUUCGAAAACAUGGUUUUAUAUAUGAGUAUAAAAUGUUAAGUACCUAGUACCGUUUAUGCCGAAUGAUGCGAAAAAUGGCGAUGAUCAAAAGCGACGUAAUUACUAAAGAGUACCGAGUAACACUUCACUUGUGUUAAUGUGUUCACUAUAAUAUAUUAAUAUAUUAUAUAUGAUGACGCGAUGGCGAUCGAACGCGACCCGGUGGCUAUAGGUAUUAUAGAGCAAUUCUAUGUGAGCUGAACUCGACAACCGACGAUGGCCGACGCGACACGUAGUUGCAGGACAAAGUGUCAAACGCAAUACCGACGAUUCCGUGCGAGUGCACAACACGCUUAUUAGUUAGGUAUUAUACACGCUGAAAACUAAGACGUUUUAAAUAUAAUGUGUAGAUAAAAAAAAAAUAAACCGGAAGUAGCAUGGUACACUUAUCCAUGAGCGAAUGGAGUAUAAUAUUAAUUAUUAAGCGAAUCGCGAUAACGAUCAAAUACUGUAAACGAUAGUGGUGGAAAAAUAACAGUCGAGCUUAUUGGUUUUAAAUAAUUUAGUCGCAAAUAAAAAAAAUAUAGUGUUGGAAACUCAU